rnacentral:rRNA from 1 species
GACGAACGCUGGCGGCGUGCUUAACACAUGCAAGUCGAACGGAAAGGCCCUGCUUUUGUGGGGUGCUCGAGUGGCGAACGGGUGAGUAACACGUGAGUAACCUGCCCUUGACUUUGGGAUAACUUCAGGAAACUGGGGCUAAUACCGGAUAGGAGCUCCUGCUGCAUGGUGGGGGUUGGAAAGUUUCGGCGGUUGGGGAUGGACUCGCGGCUUAUCAGCUUGUUGGUGGGGUAGUGGCUUACCAAGGCUUUGACGGGUAGCCGGCCUGAGAGGGUGACCGGCCACAUUGGGCCUGAGGUACGGCCCAGACUCCUACGGGGGGCAGCAGUGGGGAAUCUUGCACAAUGGGCGGAAGCCUGAUGCAGCAACGCCGCGUGCGGGAUGACGGCCUUCGGGUUGUAAACCGCUUUCGCCUGUGACGAAGCGUGAGUGACGGUAAUGGGUAAAGAAGCACCGGCUAACUACGUG